rnacentral:lncRNA from 1 species
GGCUUUGCUUGAGGCUGGUUCGAAUGGCAAAUUGGUUCCAUCAAGGUCUUCUGUAAUUGACACUCAAAGCAGGCUUGAAUGAUGACUGCAUCGAAGUUUUUUGGUUCUUGAAUGCGCAAAAUUUCAUCAAUAGAAUCCUGACAGCAAAACUUCACUCAAGUGAAUAACCAUGCCAAGAUACGUCAGGUUGAUCUGCCGAGUGAUCAUGGAUUCUAGUAUUGCAUUGACUUCUUUUGUUGGAAUGAAUUAAGUUAGUUUUUUUUAAUGCAAAUUUAGAAAUCAUCUAUAUUAUAAACAUCAUGGAUCAUUAAGUUCAGAGUUUGUG